UACGAAGGGGACUAGCGUUGUUCGGAAUCACUGGGCGUAAAGCGCACGUAGGCGGAUAUGUCAGUCAGGGGUGAAAGCCCGAGGCUCAACCUCGGAACUGCCUUCGAUACUGCGGGUCUCGAGUCCGGGAGAGGUGAGUGGAAUUCCUAGUGUAGAGGUGAAAUUCGUAGAUAUUAGGAAGAACACCAGUGGCCGAAGGCGGCUCAGCUGGCCCGGUACUGACGCUGAGGCGCGAAAGCGUGGGGAGCAAACAGG
rnacentral:rRNA from 1 species